AGAUGAUGAACCAUAGUUUAUUUAGGUUUGACUAGGAGUUUAACAAAGAAGUUGCAACUGAAAUAAUCUAUUUGGAAGAUUUGGAAUUAACUGAGUAGUAGAAAACUUUGAAGUUGAAGGGUGGUGUUAAAUUAAUGGCAGCUCCAAUUGAUCUGUUGCAAAUGGAUUUCAGGUCAGCUCAUAUGUUUUAUUAUAAUUGCUAUUUUAUAUUUUAGUAAGGACUCUUUUUUUUUUGGAUAUAAAAAUGGUGGUCGGGUGGGACUAUCACUUCAGGGUCGAGAGCAACAUGGGUAAGACCCCUCCCCAUAGAGUGUUUUUCACAUGCGGAUCAUCGAACCAGUGACCUCCUUACUACCAGGAGUAUCACUGUAGCGUUCGCCCAACAUGCAGGACCAGCUUGCUACCACUAGACCAAACCCCAUGGGUUUUAGUAAGGAAUUUUUGUUUAGAUAUCAUAUUUAUAACUUCCAUUUAUAUACAAAAUUUU